GUGGGGAAUCUUCCGCAAUGGACGAAAGUCUGACGGAGCAACGCCGCGUGAGUGAUGAAGGUCUUCGGAUUGUAAAGCUCUGUUAAUCGGGACGAAAGAGCCUAGUGUGAAUAAUGCUAGGAAGUGACGGUACCGGAAUAGAAAGCCACGGCUAACUACGUGCCAGCAGCCGCGGUAAUACGUAGGUGGCAAGCGUUGUCCGGAAUUAUUGGGCGUAAAGCGCGCGCAGGCGGAUCUGCCAGUCUGUCUUAAAAGUUCGGGGCUUAACCCCGUGAUGGGAUGGAAACUACAGAUCUAGAGUAUCGGAGAGGAAAGUGGAAUUCCUAGUGUAGCGGUGAAAUGCGUAGAUAUUAGGAAGAACACCAGUGGCGAAGGCGACUUUCUGGACGAUGUCUGACGCUGAGGCGCGAAAGCUAGGGGAGCGAACGGGAUUAGAAACCCGUGUAGUCC
rnacentral:rRNA from 1 species